GAACUUAAGAUUCAAAUAUAAAGUAUUUUUAAACUUUUAUUAAAA
rnacentral:tRNA from 1 species